AUGGGAAAUUUGGGAAUGCGGGAUCAGCCCCCAGAUGGGAAAUUCGGGAAUGCGGGAUCGGCCCCAGAGAGAGGAACGGGAAAUUGGAGAGAGAGAGGAGCGGGAAAUGUGGGAAAUACGGGAAAUGUGGGAAUUCCGGAGCUUUUCUGGGAUCGGGGAGAGCCCCAGGCCCAGCGGGAUCGGGAUGGGAAUGGAAAGCCCCAAAUCCAUCAGGAUUGGGAUGGGAAAACCCCAAAUCCAUCGGGAUUGUGUUGGGAAUGGGAGCCCCAAAUCCAUCGGGAUUGGGUUGGGAAUGGGAAACCCCAAAUCCAUCGGGAUUGGGUUGGGAAUGAGAAACCCCAAAUCCAGCGGGAUGGGAACAGGAAACCCCAAAUCCAUCGGGACUGGGUUGGGAAUGAGAAACCCCAAAUCCAGCGGGGUCGGGACGGGACAGAGGGAAAAUCCCGGGAUCGGGGUCGGGGUCGGGAUCAGCGUGGGAAGAUCCCGAAUCCCUCGGAGCGCCGGGGUCGGGAGCCGGAGCCGCCUCCUUCCCCCCUUUUCCCCCAAAUCCCCCCGGAGCGGAAUUUCCCGGGAUCGUUCCCGGGCUUGUUCCCAAAAUCCCAAAAGUUCCGCCCCAAAAAUUCCCCCGGAAAGGGAAAAAAACCCCAAAAUUCCCCCCCCCCCCCACCUUUGUUUUAUUCUUUUACAAAUUCUGGAGUUUCCGGAGUUUCCCAAGAGCAGAAUUCCCAAAAUCCCCAAAUUGCUGAAUUUCCGAGAGGAGAAUUCCCAGAAUUCCCAAAAUCCCCGAAUUUCCAAGAAGAAAAUUCCAAAAAUCGCCAAAUUUUUGAGAGGAGAAUCCCCAAAUUUCCAAGAGGAGAAUUCCCAAAAAUUCCCAGAUUUCCAAGGGGAGAAUUCCCAGAUUUCCGAGAGGAGAAUUCCCAAAAAUUCCCAAAUUUCCGAGAGGAGAGUUCCCGAAAAUCCCAAAUUUCCGAGUGCAAAAUCCCCAAAUUUCUGAGUGGAAAAUUCCCAAAAUUUCCAAAUUUCCCAAAUAAGGAGAGUUCCCACAAAUCCCAAAUUUCCAUGUGGAAGAUUCCCAAAAAUCCCCAAAUUUCUGAGAGGAGAAUUCCCAUAUCCCGAAUUCCAAGUGCAAAAUCCCCGAAUUUCUGA
rnacentral:lncRNA from 1 species